CCUACGGGAGGCAGCAGUGAGGAAUAUUGGUCAAUGGGCGAGAGACUGAACCAGCCAAGUAGCGUGAAGGAUGACUGCCCUACGGGUUGUAAACUUCUUUUAUAAAGGAAUAAAGUGAGGCACGUGUGCCUUUUUGUAUGUACUUUAUGAAUAAGGAUCGGCUAACUCCGUGCCAGCAGCCGCGGUAAUACGGAGGAUCCGAGCGUUAUCCGGAUUUAUUGGGUUUAAAGGGAGCGUAGAUGGGUUGUUAAGUCAGUUGUGAAAGUUUGCGGCUCAACCGUAAAAUUGCAAUUGAUACUGGCAGUCUUGAGUACAGUAGAGGUAGGCGGAAUUCGUGGUGUAGCGGUGAAAUGCUUAGAUAUCACGAAGAACUCCGAUUGCGAAGGCAGCUUACUAAACUGCCACUGACAUUGAUGCUCGAAAGUGUGGGUAUCAAACAGGAUUAGAUACCCGGGUAGUC
rnacentral:rRNA from 1 species